rnacentral:lncRNA from 1 species
AUUUCUGGUGUUGGCGCGGCUCCAAGAAGGCAGAAGCAGAAUGAGCGAGUCGGUCUCAAAGUCCAGCCAGCCCCUGGCCUCCAAGCAGGAAAAGGAUGGGACUGAGAAGCGAGGCCGGGGCAGGCCGCGCAAGCAGCCUUCGGUGAGUCCUGGGACGGCGCUGGUAGGGAGUCAGAAGGAGCCCAGUGAAGUGCCAACCCCGAAGAGACCCCGGGGCCGGCCGAAGGGAAGCAAGAACAAGGGCACAGCCAAGACGCGGAAAGUUACCACAACUCCGGGGAGGAAACCAAGGGGCAGACCCAAGAAACUGGAGAAGGAGGAAGAGGAGGGCAUCUCCCAGGAGUCCUCGGAGGAGGAGCAGUGACCACUUGCAGUGCCGCCUGCUCCUUGGCCACUGAGGAGCGGCCUUCCCCUGGGACUGGAAGCCCUGCUCCCAGGCCCCGCCCCGCCCCCACUGCACACUACCGCACCAGGCACCAGCUGCAGGCUCUGCGGCACCCACGGGAGCAGGAUUUGGCUCAGUCCCUGUGCCCUCCUCCCCAACACACCUGCCCCCUCCUGACAAGGUUAACUUCCCAUCAAGCCGCAGCCCAGCCUGCUGCGUGCCUCCCUCAGAGCCCUCGCUCUUAGCUCUCCGGGCGCUUUGUUUCGCAGGUCCCUCCUGCCCUGCUGCUCCUGGCUUCCCUGUAGAGGGUCCUUGGAGCAUUCCCUGGCCUUAAGGGGCCACAGCCCCAUCUCAUUCCGACAAGCCCCGAUGGCUGACCUGGCGGCAGCAGUGUGGUCAGUGCAGGGGAAGCUUAGGUCCCAGCAUGUAUGUCCCCCAUCAAGCGUCACCGGGUGGGUUUCUCAGUCCCUCCUGCCCCACCCUACUGAGAAUCCUGCACCAGGUUGGCUGAGCCCCUUGGCUGGACAACAGGAAGUAGGAUG